rnacentral:rRNA from 1 species
GGACUGUACCUUAGGAGGAAGCCCCGGCUAACUACGUGCCAGCAGCCGCGGUAAUACGUAGGGGGCAAGCGUUGUCCGGAAUGAUUGGGCGUAAAGGGCGCGUAGGCGGCCCACUAAGUCUGGAGUGAAAGUCCUGCCUUCAAGGUGGGAAUUGCUUUGGAUACUGGUGGGCUUGAGUGCAGGAGAGGUUAGUGGAAUUCCCAGUGUAGCGGUGAAAUGCGUAGAGAUUGGGAGGAACACCAGUGGCGAAGGCGACUAACUGGACUGUAACUGACGCUGAGGCGCGAAAGUGUGGGGAGCAAACAGGAUUAGAUACCCUG